GACGAACGCUGGCGGCGUGCUUAACACAUGCAAGUCGAACGGAAAGGCCCUGCUUUUGUGGGGUGCUCGAGUGGCGAACGGGUGAGUAACACGUGAGUAACCUGCCCUUGACUUUGGGAUAACUUCAGGAAACUGGGGCUAAUACCGGAUAGGAGCUCCUGCUGCAUGGUGGGGGUUGGAAAGUUUCGGCGGUUGGGGAUGGACUCGCGGCUUAUCAGCUUGUUGGUGGGGUAGUGGCUUACCAAGGCUUUGACGGGUAGCCGGCCUGAGAGGGUGACCGGCCACAUUGGGACUGAGAGACGGCCCAGACGCCUACGGGAGGCGGCAGUGGGGAAUAUUGCACAAUGGGCGGAAGCCUGAUGCAGCAACGCCGCGUGCGGGAUGACGGCCUUCGGGUUGUAAACCGCUUUCGCCUGUGACGAAGCGUGAGUGACGGUAAUGGGUAAAGAAGCACCGGCUAACUACGUG
rnacentral:rRNA from 1 species